GUUCAUAUAUUCAUUUCAAAGUAUCGUAUAAAUUUGUUAUUAAAUCCGACAAUAUAAUAUGAUUGAGAGAAUAAUGAAGUAUUGUUGAUGUGACAGUAAUAUAAUAGUAUUGUGGUUGAUAACGUGACAAUCAAUAUCAGCAACAUAUCAUCAUGUAGUCAUCUAAAUUAUAUUGUUUGGAUUUGAUUGUAAUAAUCUAAAACAUUACGAGCCGAAACUAGAAAGAUUUACGUUUGAGGAUUAAAAUUAGUGUUGGUGUUAUAAUUUGAGGAGCAAAAGUGCAACUUAGUCUAAAUAC
rnacentral:lncRNA from 1 species